UUGCACGGUCGUGCUGCCUCCCCUCGUCCAGCCCUCUCCCCGACCUCGCCGCCCCACACAUACCUCCGCUUGCCCAGCCCUCUCCUCGACCUCGUCGUCCCACCCACAUCGCCGCCACCGACGCCCCUUAGACCUCUCCAUCGCGGACCUCUCUCCUUGUCUUCCUCGCACCACGGCGCCCGCAACCUCCUCCCUUCCAUCAAUAGAAGGGAAGGAAAGAGAAGAGGGAGGGCGAGCGCGUCAGACGGCGGCCAUGGCGGCGCCGUCGUCCAACCUCGGCCUCAGAGUGCUGACCUCUCUCCUCGUCUUCCUCGCACCAUGGCGCCCGCAACUUCCUCUCCCUACUGUAAACAUAAGGGAAGGAAAGAGAAGGAGGGAGGGCGAGCACGUCAGACAGCGGCCAUGAUGCUUGCAGAUUCGUCGGCGCCGUCGUCUGACCUUGGCCUUCGAGUGCUUCUGCUCGGCGGGCAUGACGGUAUGGCCUGCCUGCUCCGCGCCCACACCAUGGCCUGCUCGGGACGCCGCCCCUCUGCUCCAUUUUUGGUCCUCUUCUGUUAGAGUGCUAGGUAUACGACGGCAUGGGCCAUUUACCAACACUACAAGAGCAGUUUGAUGCAGAUAGGGCAACUCCCGUCCUGGAGAAACUACGGUCGACUCCUGGUCCUCGCAGCUAUCCUUUCACCCUCCCACGUCAUCAAAGAAGCCCAUUGCACAUCCUCCUGGUACCACCACGAACAGCCACUCUUCAUUGGUAGUAGUACAUUGUAGCAGUACAUCCUGGCCAGAGGCAUGCCAAUGUUCUCGAAGUAGACUAGAAGUGGACCGGAGUACUGGAUGUUUGGACCACGGUUGCAUCCUCAACUUUUUUGAGUAAAAUUGGGGGAGGCAAUCUCUGUAUUUGGCCGGUUGCUUCAUGUCUAGUUAUGGGGGAGCAGUUCAGGUUAAUGAAGAGAUGAAAGUGGAGCGUUGGAGCUGAAGAUUGAGGAGGGUGGUUGUACAUAAAGUGGACUAGGCACGACGUGCUUCUAAUUAUUGCAGCGAGAAGAUGUCCAGAGCAUACGGGUCGCAAGGUGCCGAAAGCAUCACCAGGCAUUAAGCUGAGGCCAUUGACCUAUAAGGCUAUAACUGAUAUUAUGAGUAAUCGAAUGUUAAUUGGCUGGUAGUGGCAUGUUCAAGUAUGGAAAAUGAUGAGCUCCUACUUCUUUUUAUGCCAGCUCUAUUUAGUAGAGCAUGGGCUGCCUGGGGACGGCGCCGGUCCUAUACCACCGAGGGGGUUUCUUUUGUAGUUCUGGAUACACAAUUUUUCGUGAAGAGAUGGCUACCCCAAGGCAAUCUGAAUUAGACUUACACCUUGGACCUGCUUGGCAGCAAAAAGAUGAAC